GACGAACGCUGGCGGCGUGCCUAAUACAUGCAAGUCGAGCGAAGUUUUUCUGGUGCUUGCACUAGAAAAACUUAGCGGCGAACGGGUGAGUAACACGUAAAGAACCUGCCUCAUAGACUGGGACAACUAUUGGAAACGAUAGCUAAUACCGGAUAACAGUAUUUCUCGCAUGAGAGAUAUUUAAAAGUUGGUUAUGCUAACACUAUGAGAUGGCUUUGCGGUGCAUUAGCUAGUUGGUGGGGUAAAGGCCCACCAAGGCGACGAUGCAUAGCCGACCUGAGAGGGUGAUCGGCCACACUGGGCCUGAGACACGGCCCAGACUCCUACGGGAGGCAGCAGUAGGGAAUCUUCCGCAAUGGGCGAAAGCCUGACGGAGCAACGCCGCGUGAGUGAAGAAGGAUUUCGGUUCGUAAAGCUCUGUUGUUAGGGAAGAAUGGAUAUGUAGUAACUAUACAUGUAAGAGACGGUACCUAACCAGAAAGCCACGGCUAACUACGUG
rnacentral:rRNA from 1 species